rnacentral:rRNA from 1 species
GGCGCUGAAGCGUCGUGCUUAUACUCUGCCGUCGGGACAGUAGUGAUAUCUUUACUACUCUACGGAGUGUAAAAUAUCGUCAGGUCUCGACGAGUAGGUGGGCCGCGGCGGUGAGCGCAGAAGGACUGGGCGUAGGCCCGUCUGGAGCCGCCGUCGGUGCAGAUCUUGGUGGUAGUAGCAAAUACUCCAGCGAGGCCCUGGAGGACUGACGUGGAGAAGGGUUUCGUGUGAACAGCCGUUGCACACGAGUCAGUCGAUCCUAAGCCCUAGGAGAAAUCCGAUGUUAAUGCAGUUGUGUCUUUAUUAUACGAUGACAUUUAGUGUGAGAGUUUAAAACAGUUGACGUUCAUACUUGGAUACGGACCAAAUGAUGCUGACUGAUAUAUCAAUACUGUCGCUAUCCCAAAUUUGAACCGUUCAGAAGUAGAAGCAGUCGGUGGACUCUUACUUACUUGGUUCAAUGUCUGGUGAGCGAUUUACAUGAUAGUUGAAGCAACACAUUUUUUAUUGUUGAAAAGUGUCUUCUGUCUCUAUCCGCUAAUAAAUCGUUAGAGAAGUAUCACACUCAUUGGGCGAAAGGGAAUCCGGUUCCUAUUCCGGAACCCGGCAGCGGAACCGUUUACAAGUCGGGCCCUCGUAAGAGAGUUCGUCGGGGCAACCCAACAGGACCUGGAGACGCCGUCGGGAGAUCCGGGAAGAGUUUUCUUUUCUGUAUGAGCGUUCGAGUUCCCUGGAAUCCUCUAGCAGGGAGAUAGGGUUUGGAACGCGAAGAGCACCGCAGUUGCGGCGGUGUCUGGAUCGUCCCCUCGGACCUUGAAAAUCCAGGAGAGGGCCACGUGGAGGUGUCGCGCCGGUUCGUACCCAAUCCGCAGCAGGUCUCCAAGGAGA